rfam:Camelus ferus unplaced genomic scaffold scaffold1389, whole genome shotgun sequence.
GUGGGUAUUGCUCAAGUGGCAGAGUGCAUGCUUAGCAUGCAUUAGGUCCUGGGUUCAAUCCCCUGUACCUCCU